rnacentral:snRNA from 1 species
AUCAGGUAAUCCUGGUACACCGGG